ACUCAUCUGAGACAAGGCAGCUGGGUGCGAGGGUUCUCAUCGGAGAGAGGGCAGCUGGGUGCGAGGGUUCUCAUCGGAGAGAGGAAAGCUGAGUGUGACAGUUCUCAUCGGCAGUGAUGAAGAUGAAGGGCAGCUGGGUGCG